rnacentral:piRNA from 1 species
UUGAAGUCUUCUACAGGCUAGAUGUGCUAU